AGCACUUAGCCAAAAAUGCAAACCUGUUGUGGUGUGACAUGGUAAGCAGCUCUGGGCAAGAGGCUACAGCCUGCGGCUGGGCUUAGUGCUCUGAGCCACAAAGAGCUGCUUAAAAUGGACAGAGGGCUCUUUGUUUGCUGUGUGUGGUUUAGAAAUUAAGCAACAUUUAGAAGUAAAUAUUGAUUCAAGCAACAUCUGCUCCCACACUCCACUGGCCAGUUUGGCUCAUCCCAGGUAGAAAACAGCAUAUUGCAACACAGCCCAAACCUGACACCAAGCAUUUCUCCUAAUCAGUGGGGAAACAGCUUCAUGGCAUUUCCUGAAAAUUAACUAACCACACCAACUCUGGAGCUGGAACACGGCCUCGAAAGUGGCCUCUGGGUCCAGAGAGGUGUUGGGAGCAUGUUUUGGGAAAGACUACAGGAUGUUCUUGGGGCAUUUGUCAGGCACUGGGAAUGCCAGGCUGGUCUCAGUCACUGCUGGGCAUGGACACACUGGUAGGGCUGGCACUGCUGCUGGAACCCUGUGCUGACUUGGGGGUCAAGCAGGUGCAGCAGGCUGCCCUCCUUGCCUUCACCUGCUGUGACGUGACCUGCGGACAGCACAGGAUGGGAACUGGAGUCCAGCUGUUGGAUCUGACCACGCUGGUACCUUUGUUAUGGGCAGGUUCCAGCCACGGCUGAGCCGCAAACUACAUAUUCCCAUUUCCAGAGGGAAACAAGCCAAGCCCUACAGAUAAACCUGAAGCACUGGUGUAUGUUGCUCUUUGCCCUCAGCCAAUCUCGCCGUGCCAGCUCCAGCUUCAUCCCAGCCCAGUCACAGCAAGCAUUCUUCCUUAGGACACGGCCAAAUCUCCAACCCAGUUUCAACCACAAACUGCAGCAUAUCCAUAUGGAGUGAGAGAAGCGAUUCUUUCCACGUGGAGAUGUAGAAAUAAGUGAUUUUAUUUUGCCUUCGUUGUUACCUAGCUUGGAUCCAAGCCCAGUUCUUCUUCUGGUGGUGACGUGUGUUUGUGUAUUGCCAGUGGUCUGCAGUUGGCCAGAGGUUGUGUUCGUUGGUGUUUCUUCAUCCUUCAUGUAAUUUUUAGCAGCAUCUUCUUUCUGAAAACAGAGCCAUUAGGAUGUUCAGUGUUGCAAUAAAAUGGACGUGUGAUGGGCAACAAUAUUCCAGCAUGUCUGAUGAAGACAUCCUGGAGAAGACCUGAUACUUCCCGAAUAACAAGGCUGGAGUCCAAGGAGCACUGUCUUAGCUCUCCUCCUUCUGAUCAAGCAGCUCCUG
ensembl:lncRNA